AUGUGCCACGCAUGCACGCCGGUUCCUCCGCGGCGUACGCACCUGACGCCCGCUCUUUACGUGUUGAUAGCC
rnacentral:sRNA from 1 species